UGGGGAAUAUUGCACAAUGGGGGAAACCCUGAUGCAGCGACGCCGCGUGGAGGAAGAAGGUCUUCGGAUUGUAAACUCCUGUUGUUGGGGAAGAUAAUGACGGUACCCAACAAGGAAGUGACGGCUAACUACGUGCCAGCAGCCGCGGUAAAACGUAGGUCACAAGCGUUGUCCGGAAUUACUGGGUGUAAAGGGAGCGCAGGCGGGAAGACAAGUUGGAAGUGAAAUCUAUGGGCUCAACCCAUAAACUGCUUUCAAAACUGUUUUUCUUGAGUAGUGCAGAGGUAGGCGGAAUUCCCGGUGUAGCGGUGGAAUGCGUAGAUAUCGGGAGGAACACCAGUGGCGAAGGCGGCCUACUGGGCACCAACUGACGCUGAGGCUCGAAAGUGUGGGUAGCAAACAGGAUUAGAUACCCUGGUAGUCCACACCGUAAACGAUGAUUACUAGGUGUUGGAGGAUUGACCCCUUCAGUGCCGCAGUUAACACAAUAAGUAAUCCACCUGGGGAGUACGACCGCAAGGUUGAAACUCAAAGGAAUUGACGGGGGCCCGCACAAGCAGUGGAGUAUGUGGUUUAAUUCGAAGCAACGCGAAGAACCUUACCAGGUCUUGACAUCCGAUGAAUAGCUUAGAGAUAAGUGAAGUCCUUCGGGACAUCGAGACAGGUGGUGCAUGGUUGUCGUCAGCUCGUGUCGUGAGAUGUUGGGUUAAGUCCCGCAACGAGCGCAACCCUUAUUGCCAGUUACUACGUAAGAGGACUCUGGCGAGACUGCCGUUGACAAAACGGAGGAAGGUGGGGAUGACGUCAAAUCAUCAUGCCCUUUAUGACCUGGGCUACACACGUACUACAAUGGCGUUUAACAAAGAGAAGCAAGACCGCGAGGUGGAGCAAAACUCAAAAACAACGUCUCAGUUCAGAUUGCAGGCUGCAACUCGCCUGCACGAAGUCGGAAUUGCUAGUAAUCGUGGAUCAGCAUGCCACGGUGAAUACGUUCCC
rnacentral:rRNA from 1 species